rnacentral:rRNA from 1 species
GACAGAGGUGCCAAGCGUUAGGCGGAAUCACUGGGCUUAAAGCGUGUGUAGGCGGCCCGUUAAGUGUCUUGUGAAAUCCCCCGGCUCAGCCGGGGAACUGCUGGGCAUACUGGCGGGCUUGGGUCGCUCAGGGGCAGACGGAACAGGCGGUGGAGCGGUGAAAUGCGUAGAUAUCGGAAGGAACGCCCGUGGCGAAAGCGAGGUCCUGGACGUUUACUGACGCUGAGACGCGAAAGCCAGGGGAGCGAACGGG